CCAUCAUUUAAAGAAAGCGUAAUAGCUCACUGGUCGAGUCGGCCUGCGCGGAAGAUGUAACGGGGCUAAACCAUGCACCGAAGCUGCGGCAGCGACGCUGAUGCGUUGUUGGGUAGGGGAGCGUUCUGUAAGCCUGCGAAGGUGUGCUGUGAGGCAUGCUGGAGGUAUCAGAAGUGCGAAUGCUGACAUAAGUAACGAUAAAGCGGGUGAAAAGCCCGCUCGCCGGAAGACCAAGGGUUCCUGUCCAACGUUAAUCGGGGCAGGGUGAGUCGACCCCUAAGGCGAGGCCGAAAGGCGUAGUCGAUGGGAAACAGGUUAAUAUUCCUGUACUUGGUGUUACUGCGAAGGGGGGACGGAGAAGGCUAUGUUGGCCGGGCGACGGUUGUCCCGGUUUAAGCGUGUAGGCUGGUUUUCCAGGCAAAUCCGGAAAAUCAAGGCUGAGGCGUGAUGACGAGGCACUACGGUGCUGAAGCAACAAAUGCCCUGCUUCCAGGAAAAGCCUCUAAGCAUCAGGUAACAUCAAAUCGUACCCCAAACCGACACAGGUGGUCAGGUAGAGA
rnacentral:rRNA from 1 species